rnacentral:rRNA from 1 species
GGGUCAGUAGGUUGGUCGUGCCACCGGUACGUACUGGUCUCACUGACUCCUCCUUCCUGAAGAACCGUAAUGCCAUUAAUUUGGUGUUGCGGGGAAACAGGACUGUUACUUUGAAAAAAUUAGAGUGUUUAAAGCAAGCUAACGCUUGAAUACAGUAGCAUGGAAUAAUGAAAUAGGACGAUCGAUCCUAUUUUGUUGGUUUCUAGGAUUGACGUA